AAGUCGAGCGAACUGAUUAGAAGCUUGCUUCUAUGACGUUAGCCCCGGACGGGUGAGUAACACGUGGGCAACCUGCCUGUAAGACUGGGAUAACUUCGGGAAACCGAAGCUAAUACCGGAUAGGAUCUUCUCCUUCAUGGGAGAUGAUUGAAAGAUGGUUUCGGCUAUCACUUACAGAAUGGGCCAAGCGGUGCAUUAGCUAGUUGGUGAGGUAACGGCUCACCAAGGCAACGAUGCAUAGCCGACCUGAGAGGGUGAUCGGCCACACUGGGACUGAGACACGCCCCAGACUCCUUCGGGAGGCAGCAGUAGGGAAUCUUCCGCAAUGGACGAAAGUCUGACGGAGCAACGCCGCGUGAGUGAUGAAGGCUUUCGGGUCGAAAAACUCUGUUGUUAGGGAAGAACAAGUACGAGAGUAACUGCUCGUACCUUGACGGUACCUAACCAGAAAGCCACGGCUAACUACGUGCCAGCAGCCGCGGUAAUACGUAGGUGGCAAGCGUUAUCCGGAAUUAUUGGGCGUAAAGCGCGCGCAGGCGGUUUCUUAAGUCUGAUGUGAAAGCCCACGGCUCAACCGUGGAGGGUCAUUGGAAACUGGGGAACUUGAGUGCAGAAGAGAAAAGCGGAAUUCCACGUUUAGCGGUGAAAUGCGUAGAGAUGUGGAGGAACACCAGUGGCGAAGGCGGCUUUUUGGUCUGUAACUGACGCUGAGGCGCGAAAGCGUGGGGAGCAAACAGGAUUAGAUACCCUGGUAGUCCACGCCGUAAACGAUGAGUGCUAAGUGUUAGAGGGUUUCCGCCCUUUAGUGCUGCAGCUAACGCAUUAAGCACUCCGCCUGGGGAGUACGGUCGCAAGACUGAAACUCAAAGGAAUUGACGGCCGCGGCGCACAAGCGGUGGAGCAUGUGGUAUAAUUCGAAGCAACGCGAAGAACCUUACCAGGUCUUGACAUU
rnacentral:rRNA from 1 species